rnacentral:rRNA from 2 species
GACCCCAGGUCAGGCGGGAUUAC